AGCAGCCGCGGUAAUUCCAGCUCCAAUAGCGUAUAUUAAAGUUGUUGCAGUUAAAAAGCUCGUAGUUGAAUUUCGGGGUUCUACCGUUGGUCGGGCUAUUGUCUGUACUGGCGUGUAGAAUUUCUACCUUCUGGGGAACUAUCAUGUUAUUAAUUUAGCGUGGUAGGAAACCAGAACCUUUACCUUGAAAAAAUUAGAGUGUUCAAAGCAGGCUUAUGUCUGAAUACAUUAGCAUGGAAUAAUAAAAUAGGACGGUGGUCCUGUUUGUUGGUUUCUGAAUCACCGUAAUGAUUAAUAGGGAUAGUUGGGGGCAUUAGUAUUCAAUUGUCAGAGGUGAAAUUCUUGGAUUUAUUGAAGACUAACUACUGCGAAAGCAUUUGCCAAGGAUGUCUUCAUUAAUCAAGAACGAAAGUUAGGGGAUCGAAGACGAUCAGAUACCGUCGUAGUCUUAACCAUAACUAUGCCGACUAGGGAUCGGACGAUGUUAACUUUUCUUGACUCGUUCGGCGUCCUUACGGGA
rnacentral:rRNA from 1 species